GUUCAGCCGUAAACUUUAAAUUACAACCCCAAUCGCCAGGGAACUACGAGCAAUGCUUAAAACUCAAAGGACUUGACGGUACCCCAUAUCCCCCUAGAGGAGCCUGUCCUAUAAUCGAUAAUCCCCGUUUAACCUCACCACUUUUAGCUUAUCAGCCUGUAUACCUCCGUCGUCAGCUUACCUCGUGAGCGAAAUCUAGUGAGCUUAAUGUCUCCACAUCAAUACGUCAGGUCAAGGUGCAGUUUAUAAAGUGGGAAGAGAUGGGCUACACUUUCUAAUUUAGAAAAUACGAAAAACUACCUAUGAAAUCUAGUUCGAAGGCGGAUUUAGCAGUAAAAAGAAAACAGAGUAUUCUUUUUAAUUUGGCACUGGGGUGUGUACACACCGCCCGUCACCCUCUUCAAAGCUUACGAAAAGUAAUUUAACUAAUUUUUGCAACUAUAGAAGAGGCAAGUCGUAACAUGGUAAGUAUACCGGAAGGUGUGCUUGGAUUAAA
rnacentral:rRNA from 1 species